UAAGAGUUAUGUUCUUUGUAGGUCAACAUUCCUAUAGUGGUCACUCAACUUGGUGUAUUUGACAGCAAUUCUGAUGGCUUUAAACAUGGUUUGGUCGUAAGACUCUAUGACCGUGUAUCUAAGGUUGAGGUAGUCAAUGUCAGUUUUACUCCAGAUGAUCCGGGGCAGCUCAUUGGUGGCUAUAGAUUCAAGCUUGUUGAUCAGUAUAUUCUACCAAAGGGAUUUGAAGCAUCAGUUGUAGCAGAAAACUUUAGCAGCUUUGACCCAAGCCAUGAUAAACCUGUGGAACAUAGCGCUAUUGAUAAUGGUGGUGGUCUGAUAACCUUUAACAGGGUAAGCA